AACGAACGCUGGCGGCAUGCCUAACACAUGCAAGUCGAACGAGACCUUCGGGUCUAGUGGCGCACGGGUGCGUAACGCGUGGGAACCUGCCCUUAGGUUCGGAAUAACUCCCCGAAAGGGGUGCUAAUACCGGAUAAUGUCUUCGGACCAAAGAUUUAUCGCCUUUGGAUGGGCCCGCGUUGGAUUAGCUAGUUGGUAGGGUAAAAGCCUACCAAGGCGACGAUCCAUAGCUGGUCUGAGAGGAUGAUCAGCCACACUGGGACUGAGACACGGCCCAGACUCCUACGGGAGGCAGCAGUGGGGAAUAUUGGACAAUGGGCGUAAGCCUGAUCCAGCAAUGCCGCGUGAGUGAUGAAGGCCUUAGGGUUGUAAAGCUCUUUUACCCGGGAUGAUAAUGACAGUACCGGGAGAAUAAGCUCCGGCUAACUCCGUG
rnacentral:rRNA from 1 species